ensembl:lncRNA
GAAUAUUAAGAGUAGCAGAAUACUUUUUCAGUUCUGUUUUAUACCUCUGUUGUUUUUACAAACCGUUCAUACUGUAAACGAGAGUCACAACUGUUUUUUAUAAGUUCACCAACUGUAUAACCGACAGGACUCACAAUCGUAGUCAAUAAAUCUGUGACGUGUGAACGGAUCCAUAUUAAGCGACAGUUGUCUACACGUCAUGCAAUGCGAGAGUAGCUCUUCGUUCCACAAAAUUGCGCGACUUUCAGUGUGACAUCUGGCAGGUGAUUUUGGAUCCCCUCGCUGUGUUCGCUGUGCUAGAGAUCCACUCGCCAGGCCUGCCGUGGUCUUUGCGUGACCCAAAUGCUGCGCUCUACACUCAGCCCAAAUUACAGCUCUGAGUUCACUUCCCAGCGGUGGCCUAAACAGACUGUGUGUUUCUCUGAGGUGUUCCUGAACACACGGGUCACACGCUGCUCUCAUUAAUUAAACCACAGCACACUCUAAACAACAGGAUGCCAUGUUGUUCUUGGAGGCUCUCAGAAGAAUACUGCUAUCAGAAGACUGGAUCUGUUGUCUGGUGCCUCUUGGGUUACUCUGUGUUAUGGCCUGAUUCCAGCACAGAUAAUAUUGGGCCUUGCUGUAAACAUUGUACUGUAGAUGACAUGUCUUAGAUGUGAAUAAUUUACAAGUCUGUCAGCAUUUUCCCGUCCUUAUGUUAGUCCAAACAUGUAUGUCUUUCUUUAUACUGUGGAAGCCAAAAG